UACGUAGGUGACCAGCGUUGUCCGGAUUUACUGGGCGUAAAGAGCGCGCAGGCGGUCGUUCAAGUCGAGUGUGAAAGCCCCCGGCUCAACUGGGGAGGGUCAUUCGAUACUGAUCGACUCGAAGGCAGGAGAGGGAAGUGGAAUUCCCGGUGUAGUGGUGAAAUGCGAUAGAUAUCGGGAGGAACACCAGUGGCGAAGGCGACUUCCUGGCCUGUUCUUGACGCUGAGGCGCGAAAGCUAGGGGAGCAAACGGG
rnacentral:rRNA from 1 species